rnacentral:rRNA from 1 species
UACGUAGGGUGCGAGCGUUAAUCGGAAUUACUGGGCGUAAAGCGUGCGCAGGCGGUUUUGCAAGCCGGAUGUGAAAUCCCCGGGCUUAACCUGGGAAUGGCAUUUGGGACUGCAAGGCUGGAGUGCGGCAGAGGAGACUGGAAUUCCUGGUGUAGCAGUGAAAUGCGUAGAUAUCAGGAGGAACACCGGUGGCGAAGGCGGGUCUCUGGGCCGAUACUGACGCUGAGGAGCGAAAGCGUGGGGAGCGAACAGG